AAUGAACGUUGGCGGCGCGGAUUAGGCAUGCAAGUCGCGCGAGAAACGUAGCAAUACGUGGAAAGCGGCGUAAGGGAGAGUAAUGCAUGGUUAGCUACCCCCGGGACUGGGAUAGCGGUGGGAAACUGCCGGUAAUACCAGAUGAUGUCUUCGGACCAAACGUGUAAAUCGGCCCGGGGAGGUGACCAUGUCCUAUCAGCUUGUUGGCGAGGUAACGGCCCACCAAGGCAAAGACGGGUAUGGGGCGUGAGAGCGUGCCCCCACUCACUGGGACUGAGACACUGUCCAGACACCUACGGGUGGCUGCAGUCGAGAAUCUUCGGCAAUGGGCGCAAGCCUGACCGAGCGACGCCGCGUGCGGGAUGAAGGCCUUCGGGUUGUAAACCGCUGUCGUAGGGGAGGAAGGUCUGGUGUAUAGCCAGGCUUGACCGAUCCUAGGAGGAAGGGCCGGCUAAUCUCGUGCCAGCCGCCGCUGUAAUAC
rnacentral:rRNA from 1 species